GCUGGGAUAGCUCAGUUGGUAGAGCAUGAGACUCUUAAUUUCAGGGCUGUAGGUUCAAUCCCCACACUGGGCA